rnacentral:rRNA from 1 species
UACGGGGGGGGCAAGCGUUGUUCGGAAUUACUGGGCGUAAAGGGCUCGUAGGCGGCCAACUAAGUCAGACGUGAAAUCCCUCGGCUUAACCGGGGAACUGCGUCUGAUACUGGAUGGCUUGAGAUUGGGAGAGGGAUGCGGAAUUCCAGGUGUAGCGGUGAAAUGCGUAGAUAUCUGGAGGAACACCGGUGGCGAAGGCGGCAUCCUGGACCAACACUGACGCCGAUGAGCGAAAGCCAGGGGAGCAAACGGG